rnacentral:rRNA from 1 species
CCUACGGGAGGCAGCAGUGGGGAAUAUUGGACAAUGGGCGAAAGCCUGAUCCAGCCAUGCCGCGUGUGUGAAGAAGGCCUUCGGGUUGUAAAGCACUUUCAGUGGGGAAGAAAGCCUUGGGGCUAAUACCCUCGAGGAAGGACAUCACCCACAGAAGAAGCACCGGCUAACUCCGUGCCAGCAGCCGCGGUAAUACGGAGGGUGCGAGCGUUAAUCGGAAUUACUGGGCGUAAAGCGCGCGUAGGCGGUCUGAUAAGCCGGUUGUGAAAGCCCCGGGCUCAACCUGGGAACGGCAUCCGGAACUGUCAGGCUAGAGUGCAGGAGAGGAAGGUAGAAUUCCCGGUGUAGCGGUGAAAUGCGUAGAGAUCGGGAGGAAUACCAGUGGCGAAGGCGGCCUUCUGGACUGACACUGACGCUGAGGUGCGAAAGCGUGGGUAGCAAACAGGAUUAGAAACCCGAGUAGUC